rnacentral:rRNA from 1 species
AUUGAACGCUGGCGGCAGGCCUAACACAUGCAAGUCGAACGAGUGGCGGACGGGUGAGUAAUGUCUGGGAAACUGCCCGAUGGAGGGGGUUAACUACUGUAAACGGUAGCUACUCCCGCAUACCAUCGGAUGUGCCCAGAUGGGAUUAGCUAGUAGGUGGGGUAACGGCUCACCUAGGCGACGAUCCCUAGCUGGUCUGAGAGGAUGACCAGCCACACUGGAACGGAGACACGGUCCAGACUCCUACGGGAGGCAGCGGGGGGGAAUAUUGCACAAUGGGCGCAAGCCUGAUGCAGCCAUGCCGCGUGUAUGAAGAAGGCCUUCGGGUUGUAAAGUACUUUCAGCGAGGAGGCGUUACUCGCAGAAGAAGCACCGGCUAACUCCGUGCCAGCAGCCGCGGUAAUAC